UACGUAGGGGGCAAGCGUUGUCCGGAAUCAUUGGGCGUAAAGCGCGUGUAGGCGGUUCGGUAAGUCUGCUGUGAAAGUCCAGGGCUCAACCCUGGGAUGCCGGUGGAUACUGUCGGACUAGAGUACGGAAGAGGCGAGUGGAAUUCCCGGUGUAGCGGUGAAAUGCGCAGAUAUCGGAAGGAACAUCAGUGGCGAAAGCGACUUCCUGGACCAGUACCGACGUUCAGGCACGAAAGCGUGGGGAGCAAACAGG
rnacentral:rRNA from 1 species